rnacentral:sRNA from 1 species
GUGCAUUUCCGUGUCUUUAGAGGAGGCUUUUUUGCGUUUGGCAUAUAAGGGACUCAAGAGCGGCGCGCAUCACCUUGGGCCCAAGGCUGUGUUCGUGGCUCGUUUCCCUCGUGAGAGGCGGUGAAUCAUCGGCGAAGCGACUUUGGAAGCAAUUUGGCCAUUGGUGCCUUGGGGCUCUUCCGGUCUCCUCCCCUAUGGCUUGUUGCUACUGCUGUUGGAAAGUUUUAACUUUGCGCGGAAGGGCUGCCGGCUGCUAGCUGUAUGGGAAUUUGUGUUUGGCGGUGAGCCCCCUUCUCCGGUUCCUUCUACCUGCCAGAUGGUCAGAUGCUUUUUCCCAAUUUCUGAAAGAGUGCUUUGCCCUCGCCGUUUAGUGUUUACAAAACUAAAUAUAGCCAACAUAACGGAUCUGGAUUUUUUCACUCUGCUGUAACUUACAGGUCCUGUAACCUUGAAGCAUAGUCUGCUUUCAAUUUUCCUGAUAUUUAGCUUCCUGUGGUAUACUGAUGAGCAGAACUCUUCCACUACAUACCUCAAUUUUGCCUAA